CUCAGGUGCACAGCCUCUGGUCCCCCUCUUCUCAGCCGCGCUCCAUCUUGGUGAUGUCCCACUUCCAGGAAGUUCUGGCAUCUGCCCACCUUCCCCACGCCUCCAUCCGCCUGCCAUCCAGUCUUAGAUUCACUGGCCACCCCAGCGUUGACUGCAGGCCAACUGUCACAGACACCUGGACGACAGCACAGCGUGGAGGGCCAGCUGCUUCCUCCUUGGACCAAAUCACCAGCACAUGGUCCAGACUAUUGGCAAGUAGACCUCAGAGUCUGGAAUCUGCCAGACAGCUGUUUCUUGUAACUUAAAAAAAAAAAAGUACUAAGUAAUAUGUGGCAAGUACCGUCUUUGACCUCUAACUUGCACUGGGCAAUGGGGAUGUUGAGGUAGAGCGGCCCCGCCCACAAGGAGCCCAGACAGCCCCCACUGAGCAGUCACACCAGCACAGUGAGGACAAGGUAGUGUCAGGCUUUGAAUCGUGGAGGUCAAACAGGAUUGAGAUACGGCCUCAACCUUCGCUUCUUGCUUCCAGCAAAGUGGCUUCUCUGAUGAAGCAGGAGAAAAGCGCCAUUCUUGGAGCAGUCUGGGCCCCUAGAGUUGGACAUGUGCCUUUUUAGGGGACUGAGGUCCCUGCAAGACUUUCAGCCCUCCUCCUGGUCCCUGACUCCAGACUCAGCUUCCAGAACGUUCUAGGAAGGAAUAGACUCGCCACAGUGAGGUGGAGUGAACAUGUUUUACUCCCCACCUGGCUGCGGCAACCUUAGCUCUGAUUCUGCUGCUUACUGCCUGCAGUCUGAUCCCUCCCAGUGCACAGCAGCCAGAACGGUCACUCCACAGCCUGCCUCUUACAGCCUAAAACCCUUCACCAUGGCCCCAGUGCCCUCACCACAAAGUCCACCAUCCUUACCAUGGCCAACAAGGCCCUCCACCAGCUGUGCCUGGCCUACUUUUCUAAGCCAUCCCCUCCCUAAUUCCGCUUCAACUCCUCCAGCAAGUUAAGUCCUCCCCAGGUAUAGACAAAGGGCAUUCCAUGUGGAUGGAACAGCCUGGGCUAGUGCUCAGAUCUGAAAGAGUCUGCAUGUUGAAAGAGGUGAAGGUGCACCCAGCAAGCUGAGUCCUGAGUGCAGCAGCUCCCUGAGCUCUGAUUCCGCCACACACUCUGCUGACACACAAGGUCUGUUCCAAGACACCGUCCCUUACCGCCCUCUGGGCCUUUGUGUAGCUCCCCUUCUCUGGAAUAACAAGUUCAAGUCCUCAUCCUUAUCCAAGCAUCCAAAUCCUUCUCCUUCUGAGCUCAGCUUCGAGCAGUGUUCACAGGCUGCUCUGGAGGGGCGUGAUGCAGAGUCAGGUAGCUCUAUUUCCAUUAAUGCCACUUGCACAUCUGCUUUUGCCACAAAAGUGGCAGCAUCUGAGAGUGCCAGGACUGUCUCUUACCCACCUUCGUGUCCCCAAAGUCAAGCCUCAUCGUGGCCUACAGCAGGCACUCCAUACUCAUUGGUUAAGACUAGGACCAAAUUUCUUUGCCAGGCCACAUGCAUUCAGGAUGAGUCGUCUUCAAACAGGAAGAACAGUGACCCAUUUGUCAAAGUCUGUGGGGAACCCAGCUCAUCAGGAAGGACAGGAGAGAGGCUGUCGGGUGAGCAGGUGAGAUGCAUCAGGGUGAUGUUUCCCUGCUGUCCCUGGUCCCAGGAACCACCAGAAGCUCAUGUUAAUAACUCACUUACCCAAACUGAUGAACCUGAGUCUCCAGGGAAGGGCCUAAAAAUUUGCCCUUUUUAUCAGACUGCCCAGGGGUGAGUCAUGACUGGUUAACACUGUCCAGAUCAGUGCAGGAGCAGCAAAGGUUGCUUUCUGGACAGACUUCAGAAACACCUGGCCAGGGCUCAGAAAAGUCCCAGGGCUGCCUGUGGAGGGGGAAGCCACGUCCCAGAGGGUUUAGCAGCCUAUCUGCCCACAGUGCCCAGCCUCCUCCUGGUGGGGCCCAAGUCCCAGAAACGACAGACAGUGGACCUCUGAGAAAGAAAGGGCACCAAGAGCUUUGAAACAGUAAUGAUACAGACAGAUUGCCUCAUUUGUUUUCAAAGAAAACUCUUAAAUGGUUUUCAGACCUCGGGUUCACAGGAUUGGCUUACACAGUCACAUAUCAAUGAGGAAGUGUCAGGAACUGACCCCGCCCACCAACUGGGUUGAUCUCAUAUUUGUUUAUGCAAGACAACUGAAUAUACAAAAAAAACAAAAAAACUCUAGGUGUGGCCAGCCCCUGAUUGCCCCCACCCUGGUAUGUGGGUGUUUUAAUCACAAUCCUUGGUUCUUAAGAUACCUUCAUGAUGUUUUCCCCAACAAAGCGCUCUCUUGUUAUUUAUGUUUUUACUUUUUAUUGUGCAUUCUUGCUAUUUUAUUUCAUUGAUUUGUUGCCCUAUUAUUACAUUUUGGUAAGUACCUACAAACACCCCACCUGCCAUAACCACCUUGCCCUUGACAGUAACGGACUUCUUCUCUUUCCAUCCCUUCCAUCCUGUGCCAAGAAGACUCAGGCUGGCCAGAGGGCCUUCCAGGGGCCCCAGAUGGCCUCCCAGAUGCCAAUCAUUUCUGGGAUUCUGGUGCACUGGUUUGCAACCCUCCUGCUGAUUAGAAUCCCCCGGGGCCACUGACUGAUUCAUAUUUGAGUAGGACCUAAGCAAUAGUGUUUUUAAAACUCUCCCCAGGCUUUUCUACUAAGAACCCCUGCAAAGACUCCUCACUUAGCGUUCUCCCCACCCCUGGGUGGGUGAGACAUGAAUCAUCUAAGAAGUUUGGGGUGGGGAGGGAGGUGGCUGCAUACACAGAACUCGACCCCUCCCACCCAGUAAUCCAAUACACUUUCCUAAAGAUACCCUACCCCCAUGCCUACCUGCUGUGCAGCUGAGAGAUGUUACUGAAGCGGUGUGUUGGGUGAGUGGCCAGCACAUUUCUCAACAUGGGGCAUGGAACACACCCACGCCCCGAGCCACUGGAGGCUUUGUUUAUUAUGCACGGAACUGAAUCAGAAUUUCUGGAGGCUGAGGCUCAGGAAUUUGCAUUUCUAACGUGCACCCCGAGCUGAUUCGCAGUCACUUGUGUGAGAAUGGCUGAGGCAAGGGCAGGGAGCACAGGACGUUGAGACCUCCAGGGGCAAGUUGACACCUGCAGAGGCCAAGUCUGCGUCUUAUCCAUUCCUGCGUCUCUGACACCUGUAGGGGUUAAAGGACAAAUAAUGAGCUUGAAACACAUGCACUCAUGCUAUUUUAGUCAAGAGUCUUUUUCUUCUGAAUGACAGACUCCCAGCUCAAACAAGCUGAGUAAGAAGAGGAAUCCAGUAGCUUAUUUUGCGGAGCAAUUCAUGAGCGCCUUCAGGCAAAGCUGGAACAAGGUACUCAAGUGAAGGCAUCAAGGCUCUACUGAUCCAAUCUCCACCUCUCCGUAUCUCAUCUCGGCUUCUCUCUGUGGGUAGAGAAAUUGGACAGUAACAGCUCCGUACAUGGUUCUCACAGCUUCGCACCCUCAGUAAAAAACAAGACUUUCUGCAUCACCUUGUCAAACUCUAUCCACAAAGUCCUAGUAAAGCCCUCUGCAGUAAGGAUGACAACCAUAACUACAGCCCCACGAAGACUGACUGGGGUGGUGAAGGCCUGUUUUCUCCUAAUGAUCUUGGGCAG